rnacentral:rRNA from 1 species
UAUAUAAGUUAUCGUUUAUUUGAUAGCACCUUACUACUUGGAUAACCGUGGUAAUUCUAGAGCUAAUACAUGCUGAAAACCCCGACUUCGGGAGGGGUGUAUUUAUUAGAUUAAAAACCAAUGCCCCCUGGGCUCUCUGGUGAUUCAUGAUAACUUCGCGAAUCGCAUGGCCUUGCGCCGGCGAUGGUUCAUUCAAAUUUCUUCCCUAUCAACUUUCGAUGUUUGGGUAGUGGCCAAACAUGGUUGCAACGGGUAACGGAGGGUUAGGGCUCGACCCCGGAGAAGGAGCCUGAGAAACGGCUACUACAUCCAAGGAAGGCAGCAGGCGCGCAAAUUACCCAAUCCCGACACGGGGAGGUAGUGACAAUAAAUACUGAUACAGGGCUCUUUUGGGUCUUGUAAUUGGAAUGAGUACAAUUUAAAUCCCUUAACGAGGAACAAUUGGAGGGCAAGUCUGGUGCCAGCAGCCGCGGUAAUUCCAGCUCCAAUAGCGUAUAUUAAAGUUGUUGUGGUUAAAAAGCUCGUAGUUGAACCUUGGGCCUGGCUGGCCGGUCCGCCUCACCGCGUGCACUGGUCCGGCCGGGCCUUUCCCUCUGCGGAACCCCAUGCCCUUCACUGGGCGUGGCGGGGAAACAGGACUUUUACUUUGAAAAAAUUAGAGUGCUCCAGGCAGGCCUAUGCUCGAAUACAUUAGCAUGGAAUAAUGAAAUAGGACGCGCGGUUCUAUUUUGUUGGUUUCUAGGACCGCCGUAAUGAUUAAUAGGGACAAUCGGGGGCAUCAGUAUUCAAUUGUCAGAGGUGAAAUUCUUGGAUCUAUUGAAGACUAACUACUGCGAAAGCAUUUGCCAAGGAUGUUUUCAUUAAUCAGGAACGAAAGUUAGGGGAUCGAAGACGAUCAGAUACCGUCGUAGUCUUAACCAUAAACUAUGCCGACUAGGGAUCGGACGAUGUCGCUACUGACUCGUUCGGCACCUUACCGAGAAAUCAAA